rnacentral:rRNA from 1 species
AUGCAGUCGAACGAGUUCUGAUUAUUGAAAGGUGCUUGCAUCUUGAUUUAAUUUUGAACGAGUGGCGGACGGGUGAGUAACACGUGGGUAACCUGCCCUUAAGUGGGGGAUAACAUUUGGAAACAGAUGCUAAUACCGCAUAAAUCCAAGAACCGCAUGGUUCUUGGCUGAAAGAUGGCGUAAGCUAUCGCUUUUGGAUGGACCCGCGGCGUAUUAGCUAGUUGGUGAGGUAACGGCUCACCAAGGCAAUGAUACGUAGCCGAACUGAGAGGUUGAUCGGCCACAUUGGGACUGAGACACGGCCCAAACUCCUACGGGAGGCAGCAGUAGGGAAUCUUCCACAAUGGACGCAAGUCUGAUGGAGCAACGCCGCGUGAGUGAAGAAGGCUUUCGGGUCGUAAAACUCUGUUGUUGGAGAAGAAUGGUCGGCAGAGUAACUGUUGUCGGCGUGACGGUAUCCAACCAGAAAGCCACGGCUAACUACGUGCCAGCAGCCGCGGUAAUACGUAGGUGGCAAGCGUUAUCCGGAUUUAUUGGGCGUAAAGCGAGCGCAGGCGGUUUUUUAAGUCUGAUGUGAAAGCCCUCGGCUUAACCGAGGAAGUGCAUCGGAAACUGGGAAACUUGAGUGCAGAAGAGGACAGUGGAACUCCAUGUGUAGCGGUGAAAUGCGUAGAUAUAUGGAAGAACACCAGUGGCGAAGGCGGCUGUCUGGUCUGUAACUGACGCUGAGGCUCGAAAGCAUGGGUAGCGAACAGGAUUAGAUACCCUGGUAGUCCAUGCCGUAAACGAUGAAUGCUAGGUGUUGGAGGGUUUCCGCCCUUCAGUGCCGCAGCUAACGCAUUAAGCAUUCCGCCUGGGGAGUACGACCGCAAGGUUGAAACUCAAAGGAAUUGACGGGGGCCCGCACAAGCGGUGGAGCAUGUGGUUUAAUUCGAAGCAACGCGAAGAACCUUACCAGGUCUUGACAUCUUUUGAUCACCUGAGAGAUCAGGUUUCCCCUUCGGGGGCAAAAUGACAGGUGGUGCAUGGUUGUCGUCAGCUCGUGUCGUGAGAUGUUGGGUUAAGUCCCGCAACGAGCGCAACCCUUAUGACUAGUUGCCAGCAUUUAGUUGGGCACUCUAGUAAGACUGCCGGUGACAAACCGGAGGAAGGUGGGGAUGACGUCAAAUCAUCAUGCCCCUUAUGACCUGGGCUACACACGUGCUACAAUGGAUGGUACAACGAGUUGCGAGACCGCGAGGUCAAGCUAAUCUCUUAAAGCCAUUCUCAGUUCGGACUGUAGGCUGCAACUCGCCUACACGAAGUCGGAAUCGCUAGUAAUCGCGGAUCAGCACGCCGCGGUGAAUACGUUCCCGGGCCUUGUACACACCGCCCGUCACACCAUGAGAGUUUGUAACACCCGAAGCCGGUGGCGUAACCCUUUUAGGGAGCGAGCCGUCUAAG